AUUGAACGCUGGCGGCAGGCUUAACACAUGCAAGUCGAGCGGAGUGAUGGUGCUUGCACUAUCACUUAGCGGCGGACGGGUGAGUAAUGCUUAGGAAUCUGCCUAUUAGUGGGGGACAACAUCUCGAAAGGGAUGCUAAUACCGCAUACGUCCUACGGGAGAAAGCAGGGGAUCACUUGUGACCUUGCGCUAAUAGAUGAGCCUAAGUCGGAUUAGCUAGUUGGUGGGGUAAAGGCCUACCAAGGCGACGAUCUGUAGCAGGUCUGAGAGGAUGAUCCGCCACACUGGGACUGAGACACGGCCCAGACUCCUACGGGAGGCAGCAGUGGGGAAUAUUGGACAAUGGGGGGAACCCUGAUCCAGCCAUGCCGCGUGUGUGAAGAAGGCCUUGUGGUUGUAAAGCACUUUAAGCGAGGAGGAGGCUCUUUUGGUUAAUACCCAAGAUGAGUGGACGUUACUCGCAGAAUAAGCACCGGCUAACUCUGUGCCAGCAGCCGCCGCAG
rnacentral:rRNA from 1 species